UACAGAGGUCUCAAGCGUUGUUCGGAUUCAUUGGGCGUAAAGGGUGCGUAGGUGGCGCGCUAAGUCAGACGUGAAAUCCCUCAGCUUAACUGGGGAACUGCGUCUGAUACUGGAUGGCUUGAGUUUGGGAGAGGGAUGCGGAAUUCCAGGUGUAGCGGUGAAAUGCGUAGAUAUCUGGAGGAACACCGGUGGCGAAGGCGGCAUCCUGGACCAACACUAACACUGAGGAGCGAAAGCCAGGGGAACAAACGGG
rnacentral:rRNA from 1 species